rnacentral:lncRNA from 1 species
UUUAAUUGACUAUAGUUUAGAUAUCGUUAGUGUGGCGGAACCACCUCGGAUUAGCUUGAUUAAUCAGAGUUCAGCCGCCUGACAUGCGACACUCCUGAUUAACUCGAGCUAACACGAAGCGCCGUCGGAUUUCCUCCGAUUUAACCACUUUCAACAGGAUCGAGUUCAGCAAACCCACACGAAGGUGAGCGGUUACAAGAAUACAACAAGUCCACUGAGUUUAAACAGUCUUACUCAAGAGUUCGGUCAUAAAAUUUUAACAUCAGAGUUUUAUAACAAAAGACAACAGAGAAAACACUAGCGGAAGACUUCGUCGGGGUCGGACGUCCGGGCGAGGCCAGCCAGAACAUCACUGAGUCCUCUCCUCGCCGUCCGAGGAGGGGUCCCACUCGACCGUCCAGCCUGGCGGGAGCUGGGGCGGCCAAACACCAACAAGGGAGGGGUCGGGAACUGCAACUUCACCUGAAAAACAGGAGCCACAACAAGGCUGAGCUACUAAGCUCAACAAGACUUAACCGGGGAGGAGUCGACUACUCAUCCAUCUAGACAUGCAAGGCUUCUUGGCUGAGGGGUUUGUUUUGCCAAAAGCACUAAGUAACCUAUUUUCAAGUUUUAGCUCCGGUUCUAGAUUUACUUACCAGUCUAGGUUGUGCAACCUAUUCUAAGCAAACAUCGAGCCAAACAAGUGUAUGUAGAGAAACAACAACCUUGCCAUCAUCAGAUUCCUUAUUUACUCAGGGUGACAUAGCGAUCAAGAAAUCUCAAACUGUGAGAGGCAGACGAAUCGAUUCGAGUUCUUUAACCAUGCAUGGUGAACCUAGCCCCACGACAUCCGCGCACCCGGAGGUCGCUUCCUGUGUCGGCCUUCCCCAUCGAUCCCCUAACCCGUGUCGGGCCCAUUUCCUUUGGUGCAAGGUUCCACAGACCCGGUCUCUGCCGUUAUGUGACCACGCUUUGCCACCACGUGCGACAACCAGCAGGGGAAACUCCGUUCCAAGAACAAUGGGGCGACCGCUCACGUCUAGGUUCAAUCAGGUACUAGGCUUCCUCAUCCCAUACUAAGUAUGAGGCUAGUACUUUCAAACACUUGAUCACGAACACCACCACUGUCGGGCCUUAGCAAGUUUUCAUAGACAGACGGGGCAACCAUCCGACCACCAAAGUGUUACCCAUCCCUGCCCCAUCCACCGUCCUUAUAGUUGUAGCAGAGAGUAAACAGGCAACUCCUACAACUCGCGAGUGACAGGAGAUCACUCGGCUUUUACCGUCUCCUGUUUAAGCAAUGCAGCUACUCGGUCCAACAGCUAGUGCUCAUAUCAAGGGUCACUAAGUCAUGUAUCUAGGGUUUCACACAACUCCUAAACGUAAAUGCACAAACAUGCUAUUCGGAAGGCAUGUGCAAGUUUUGGCAAAACACGUAGGGUUUUCAUGCAACCGGGGCUUGCCUGCAAACAAAGAGGGCGGAAACUGCUCGACUUCAGGGGCGGCUUCGACUUCAGCGGGCGGGAACUCGGCUACAGCUUCUUCUUCGGGCGCCGGGUGCAGCUCGUAGAAGCCGUCAGCGAGAUGCAGCUCUACACGGAUGCAAUGCAAAGGUUAGCUUAAACGUUUUGAUUUGACCGCAACACUGGCUCUCCUGAGCCCAGAAACUUGCGACAAAGAGCAGGAGUGGGAGGCGGUUGGAGAGAGCGGAUGAUGAUCAACAGGUAAGGGUAGGAAAGAAACGAGUGGUCUGAUCCUUGAACUAGAGGGUGUGAUAACUGGGAUCCUCAGACGUAAGCGCUGAAGGGUUCUCACGUUUUACACUUACACCCUCAAGUUGAAGAAAAGAUCACAGCCAGACCCUCGGGCGAGGCGGACAAAGGUCGGCAAACAGACAGGGUCGGACGAGACGGAACUGGGGUCGGCACUCACCUUCUUCCUGAAAGGAAAGCUUGGUGUCGGGAAGAGGCAGACUUGGGCACGGAACUAAAGCUUUGAGCAGGGACUAAGGUCGGUGGUGCUCCGGCGGCGGUGCUUCUUGCAGAUCGCAAGAGAGCUCUUGCGCAGCACAAGGGAGCAAGCUGCGGGGUGACUUGGAUGAACUGAGAAGGAAAUGUGAGAAGAACUUCUCAAGAUUGGGCGGAUGGCGCUAGGAGCUUGAGCAGGGAGCUAGAGGAAACUAAGGGCAACAAAGGCGGAGGAAACUCCGGCGACGGGGGCAUUCCUUUUAUAGCUGCUGGAGCAGAGGAACGGAAGCGUCGCGGAGAGAGAGAAGGGGAGCGGCGCGAAGGCCGGGGAGAAGCAAUGGAGUGCUCUGCCGUGGCGGCGAUUGAGCAAACCGGGCGGUGCAACAGAACUCCGGGGGUGACGCCAGCGAUCAUUGCGCUACUCCGUCAGGGCGGCGUAGGCGCGGGUAGACCGGUAGUUGAGAUUUGGCGGAAAGCGGGCGUCGCCGUGCGGAAGAGGUGAUAGAAGCGACCGGUUAAACGGCGCUAGGAUCGAGGGCGCACAGGUGGGAGAACAAGCGGACGCGGCGCGAGGGAGAGCGCGGAACAACAGAUUGUCGGGCGGCGUCUGACAGGGCGGGGAAAGGAACUGUCGGGGCCGCGGUCGGAGUUGGCGGUGGGGGAAUCGUCGUGUAGCGACGACCGGGCGGCGCAACUGUUGCUGGAAAGGACGGAAAAGACGGGCAACAUCGGUCUCCGGGGCCGGGAUCUGGUAUCGUGAUGAUUGGCGCGGGGAGCGAGGCUCUGUAGAAAAGGGGGUGCAGAGGGCUUCCGCUGCUAUUGGGGAAGAGGGCGCGGGAACCCACUCGGUCGCUUGCCAGAGACAAAACUGAGCGGUGGCGUCGGAGAAGGCGAGCCACGCGGCAGGAAGGUUCUGAGGCGGCCAUGCAACUCGAGUGCGGCUGAUGCGGGGGAUCGGGAAAAGAUCUCGCGGGUCCACCGGGGAAAAGAUCGGACGGUGAGGAAGAUUAACAGGAUCCGACGGAUGGCUGAACUCGCUAGGGUCGGGAAAAAGGAACGAAGCAGUAGGGGUCGGAUCUCAGGGGUCGGAACUGGCGGAAAACUGAGCACUUAAGUGCGAUCAACAGAGCAACUGACGGAGGUUUAAGGGCUGAGAUCAAACCUAACUGGGAGAGAUUAGGGGUCGGUUGUUACAGCCUACCCUUCUUAAAAAGAAUCUCGUCCUGAGAUUCAAGAUCAAGGGUGUGCUGUUCUUACCUCCUUGAUGGGGUAGAAAACCUGGAAAACGCUUGUUCAGAUAUUCUUCCGUCUCCCAUGUUGCUUCAUCUUCGGUGUGAUUUCUCCAGAGGAUCUUGUACAUCUUUACCAUUUGGCGUCGGGUGUGCCUUUCCUUCUGGUCAAGAACUCGAUCUGGGUACUCGGUGUAGGUCAGGUCAGGUUCUACUUGAAGCUGUUCUUUUCUAGGAAUUCUGCUGGAACUCGGACACAUUUCUUCAACUGAGACACAUGGAAAACAUUAUGUAUGGCUGACAGCUGCUCUGGAAGUUGGAUCCUGUAAGCGACGGGUCCACAUAUCUCCACAAUCUCAUAAGGGCCGAUGUAACGGGGAGCUAACUUGCCCUUUAUUCCAAACCGUUGCGCUCCUUUGGUUGGGGAGACUCUAAGGUACACAUGGUCACCAAGGUUGAACUGCAGGGGUCUUCUCCGUUGGUCAGAGUAACUCUUCUGUCGAGAUUGGGCAGCCUUGAGAUUUGCCUGAAUUACUCUUACUUGCUCUUCGGCCUCUGCCACUAAGUCAGGGCCAUAAACCUGUCUUUCUCCUGGUUGGGACCAGUUCAAGGGUGUUCGGCAUCUUCGGUCGUACAGGGCCUCAAACGGUGCCAUCUUCAAACUGGCCUGGUAGCUGUUAUUGUAGGAGAACUCUGCUAAGGGCAGGCACUUGUCCCAGUUCUUGUCAUAGUGAAUGACACAAGCUCUUAACAUGUCUUCAAGGAUCUGGUUGACUCUCUCGGUUUGGCCAUCGGUUUGGGGAUGGUAUGUUGAGUUUGAAUGAGCUUGGUGCCCAUAGAGGCUUGUAGUUGCUUCCAAAAUCGUGCCACAAACUGAACUCCUCUGUCUGAAACUAUGGUCUUGGGUACACCGUGUAGAGAAACGAUACGGUCGAGGUAUAACUCUGCAUAUUGCUUGACUGUGUAGGUGGUACGAACAGGCAAGAAGUGUGCUGUCUUGGUCAGACGGUCCACUAUAACCCAGAUAGAAUCAUAACGUUGAGUUGUAAGGGGUAACCCAACUAUAAAAUCCAUGCUGAUGUCUUCCCAUUUCCAAGAGGGAAUAGGUAGCGGCUGCAAGGUUCCUGCUACCUUCAAGUGACUGGCCUUGACACGUCGACAAGUGUCGCAUUCUGAAACAUAACGAGCUAUCUCCGGUUUCAUCCCACUCCACCAAAAGGUCUGACGAAGAUCAUGGUACAUCUUGUUGCUGCCAGGGUGGAUGGAGAACUUGGAAAGAUGAGCUUCAUCUAGGAUUUGCCUCCUUAACUCGGGGUCGGCGGGCACUACUAGUCGGUUUCCAUAGUACACACCUCCCGUUUGGUCCUGCCGGAAAAGUUUAUACCCUUCGUCCUUUACCGAGACCUUACUGAUGAUCCGUUUCACUUCUUCAUCCUUAGUUUGUGCUGACCGAAUCCGGUCCUCCAAAACUGAGUCAAGGAUGAGGUGAUCAAGGGUUCCAUGGGGAACAAACUCUAGACUUAGUUUUCCCAUCUCGUGACACAGGGUGUCGGUGAAGGCUGCUGACAACAAGCAGUUGCAACGGGGUUUUCGACUGAGGGCAUCGGCCACUACAUUGGCCUUGCCAGGAUGAUAGUGCACGUCCAAGUCAUAAUCCUUUAUUAACUCCAGCCAUCUUCUCUGACGCAUGUUGAGGUCGGCUUGCGUGAAGAUGUACUUGAGGCUCUUGUGGUCGGUGUAGAUGUUGCAGUGAGCUCCCAUUAAGUAGUGCCUCCAUAUCUUCAAGGCAUGUAUCACUGCUGCCAACUCAAGGUCAUGGGUCGGGUAGUUCAGCUCAUGAGGUCGCAACGCACGUGAGGCAUAGGCAAUGACUCGGUUGUCUUGCAUAAGAACACACCCGAGUCCAGUGCCGGAGGCGUCACAGUAUACGUCAUACGGCCUAGAGGGGUCGGGUUGAGCCAAAACUGGGGCGGUGGUUAACAAGUGCUUCAGGGUUUGGAAAGCUUCUUCGCACUUGGCGUCCCACACAAACUUGGCCUCUUUCCUUAACAACUCGGUCAUCGGCUUGGCUAUCUUGGAGAAAUCCGGUAUAAAACGCCGAUAGUAACCUGCCAGUCCGAGAAAACUCCGGAUCUGGUGUACCGAGACAGGAGACUUCCAUUCUAUGACCUCUUGCACUUUACUGGGAUCUACGGCAAUACCGUCCUUGGAGAUAGUAUGUCCCAAAAACUUGACACUAUCCAACCAAAACUCACACUUGGAGAACUUUGCAUAAAGCUGGUGAUCUCUCAGUCGCUGAAGAACUAUGUGAAGCUGGUUGGCAUGCUCUUCUUUGUCCUUGGAGUACACUAGGAUAUCAUCAAUGAACACCACUACAAACUUGUCCAGCUCGGGCAUGAACACCGAGUUCAUAAGGUACAUGAAGUAAGCGGGUGCAUUGGUGAGUCCAAAGGACAUGACUAGGUACUCAUACAAUCCAUAUCUGGUAGAGAAAGCUGUCUUGGGCACGUCGCAAGGUCGAAUCUUGAUUUGAUGAUAACCAGAACGAAGAUCGAUCUUGGAGAACACUUUUGCUCCGGCUAACUGGUCGAACAAAACAUCAAUGCGGGGCAGUGGGUACUUAUUCUUGACUGUCACCGCAUUGAGGGGUCGGUAAUCCACACACAUCCGUAAACUGCCGUCUUUCUUCUUCACAAACAGGGCGGGGCAUCCCCAAGAUGACGUACUGGGUCGAAUGAAACCCUUUUCCAACAGGUCAUGCAACUGGGUCUUCAACUCUGCUAACUCAGCGGGUGGCAUCCGAUAAGGUCUCUUAGAUAUUGGAGCUGUGCCAGGAACCAACUCUAUAGAAAACUCCACUUCUCUGUCAGGUGGCAUGCCUGGCAAGUCCUCUGGAAACACAUCUGGGUACUCACAGAUAACAGGGAGGUCUUCUAGACGGGAUCCCAAAAGAGAAAAAGCACAAGGGGUCAAGGACUCAGGGUGGGUCAAGGAUAGGGUAGCACUGCCAUGAGAGGGCGAGCUGAUGAAAAGAGAUCGGGCUGAGGUAUCUAAAACAACACGAUGUCGGGCCAUCCAAUCCAUGCCAAGGAUGAUGUCUAGGCCUUCGAGGUCAAGGAUGAUAAGGUUUUCCUUGAAGAGGGUGGGGCCUAGCUGGAGAGGUACAAGAAUAACGACCUGAUCCGACGUUAUCCUUCCUCCAGGAGUGGCGAUCACAUAGGGUUCCUUAGUGUGACCUACACUUAGCUCGCAUCUUUCCCUUGCCUUACUCCCGAUAAAGCUAUGGGAGGCUCCUGAAUCAAACAACACCACAACAACUUGUUUUAAAACAAGAAAAGUACCCGUCAUCACUGACGCACCUUCGGGAAGUUCGGUCAGGCUGGUGUAGUUGAGUCGGCCUUGUCGGACUUGCACCUUGGGCCUUCUUCCUCUGGCUGCCAUGGGGUUCUGGCCUUGCUGCUGAGUCUUGCUCCUGGGGCAGUCCCUUGCAAAAUGUCCCUCAUUGCCGCAGGUAAAACAUCUGUUACUGGCUGCCGGACGAGGUGGCGUUGGCAAGGUUGGCCGGGGUACUUGUGGUUGGAAGCCUGGAGAACUGGGCAUUGUUGCCAGCGGGGGUCGGGCGAUCCAUUUCCCUGACGGUUGGGGUCGGCCAGGGGCUUGCGGAGGGAUCAUCCGAAAUCUUCGGGCUGGCAGGCUCGGAAGAGCCACAGAGGCUUUCCUCUUCUGGUCGGCCUUGAGAGCUUGCAUGCAAUCCUCCUGGGAGAUGGCCAGAUUGACCAACUCGUUAUAGGUGUCCACCCGGAUGGGGUUCAGCCUCUCCCUGAGCUCCAAGCUCAGUCCUCGGCGGAAUCUGUCCCGCUUCUUCUCAUCGGUAUCCGCGUGAUAUCCCGCAUAACGGCACAGGUCGUUAAACGCCUGGGCGUAGUGUAGCACAUCCCUAGUUCCCUGGGUGAGGGCCAGAAACUCGUUGAGCUUUCGCUCCAGGAGACCUUCAGGAAUGUGAUGCGCCUUGAACGCCAUCUUAAACUCGUCCCAGCUGACUACGUGGUCAGCAGGUAGCAUGGCAUGGUAGUGGUCCCACCAAAGCCGUGCGGAACCACGCAGCUGCUGAGCUGCGAACCGCGCCUUAUUGUUGUCAGGGCAUGGAGCGGUAAGGAGCUCGAACUUAGAUUCGAUCGUCCGAACCCAUGCAUCAGCGUCGAGCGGUUCCUGGGCCUUUUGGAACAGCGGGGGCUGUGUCCCCAAAAAGUCCUCAUAUCUUGCGACAUGCUGCUGCUGCUGUGUUCUACCGCCAUGUGGCUGCUGUUGUCCUUGUACCAGAUGCCUGAGCAGCUCGGUUUGAGUUGCUAGGAUUGCCUCCAAUGGCGAUGGUGGCGGGGGCGGGGGAAGAUCCUGGCGCUGGUCACUGCUGCUGGGCAUAGUUCCAGACCUCGUGCGGUGCGCCAUCUGCAAGAGUUGACGCCCCAUUAAUCUCAUGACCUUAGGUGUAUUCCAACGAAUGGGAACGUAUGAAUUAAAUCCUUUAAUGCGACUCUUGCCAAAGGUGCAUCACACGUCCUUAUAGAGGAAGCACAUUCCUCCCAUUUCAUCACAGAUAGCCUUUACUUGCCCUGGUACUCCACCUCAGGUAACCACACCACAUACAGACUCCGAGGGUCGGGUCCACUCGAACCAAGGGGUCGGAUACGGUCCGUACUCUCAGAGGGUCGGACAAGGCGGUAACUGUCUUAAGGGUCGGCGCACUCUGGUUCGCAAACUAGGGUCGGCCCCACUUAUUUAACCUUAGCAUCCGCAUCAUACGAAAAGGAUAGAACUGUACACUGCACUGGAUUGACUUUAUACACAACGUCGUUUCAACUCAGGAAGUACUCAACUCAAGGCUAACCUAUUACAACCUUCCAAACUAGGCUGCCGAGGAGUACAACAAAAGAAGGAAGGUUCCUUGAGAACCCUUAAACUACCACUGGACACUAUGAGUCGGAGAAGGGGCGCCAUCUUCUUCUAUGUCCAUGCUGGACGCUCCCUCGUCUUCCUCAGGGUCCUCCUGAGCUUCAAGUUGCAUGUUGAGGGCAUGCAUGUCUUCAAGCUCAGCUUGGUGUUCCUCUAGGUGGGCAUUGGCAACGGCCAAUUCCAUUUCCACCUCCAUUUUCUCCUCCGAGAGCUCGAUCAUACCGUCCACAAGGUCGGCAACUUCGCCUUCCAGCUCGGAGAUCCGGUCUUGCAUGUCGUGGAUCUGGAUUCCACGUUGGAUCAGCUGGUAGGUUUGGCCUACCAGAUCUCUUCUAGUUGCUUGGAGGUACACGUGGGUGUCCGCAGCAGUUCGAGCAAAGAGUGUCAUGGCCCUUCCUUGGAGCUCGAUCAGCCGGUAGAACGCAGCCAUGCAUCUGACGUUGGCGGAGAUGGUGAGCGUGGCGCAGGUAGCGGCCAACGCUUCAAGGUUUUCGAUGCGGUCCAGCCAGGCCGGGUCCAUCCGACUUCUGACAGGAAAAAGACCGAUCGGGUCCAAGGUGAUCUCCACAGGGUGGAACUGACAGAACUGCGUGAGCAACUGGAGAGCGGCGGAUUCCCACGUAUCUUCCGGAGAAAGACCGUAGGCUAUGAUGCCCAGAGAGGGCCAGUCGGGCCGCACAAAAGAGGGUGGCACCAGUGCUUGCACCUGGCACGCCUGGAUGCCCUGCUCCACAUACAGCCGCCCAGAGUACAGGGGUGGAGACUGAUACCCAAACCAUCUCAACGUAUCCCACAAGAUCGCGGGAAACCCCUCGAAAUGUAGGCAGGUUGAUUGGAAGGUACCGUCCGCUCCAAACACCACAUGCCCGGGAGCAGCCAUCUGGAACCAAGAAAACCGAAGCCACGUGAGAUAACUCCGAAGAUCAGGGGUCGGAUAGAGAAGCAGAAGGGCUUAACCGAGAGCAACUAAGGGGAGCUAGAAAUCCUUAGAUCCAAAGGAACUCUGUCGGACAGGGUUGCUGUUGAGAAGGAAACAUUACCGAUUUCUAUAUGACGCAUGCACGGCCUACCGUAUUCUUAACCAAAAACAACUGCCCGAACCUUGGGUCUUACGCGGUUAGCGCCGGUGACAAGGCAACAAUACGUCUCUCUCCCUAUAUUAUCUAGUCGGUUCUAGCAACGUCUUAACGAACGCGGUUAACAACCUGCAGAAAACACACACCCGAACCUUUCGUGCCAGCACCCACGAAAGCGUUCCCAAACAUUACCGUCCACUAUAGGAACGGCACCCAUGCGUUUAAGGCUGCAUGGACAGCACUCAACCGUGGAAAUAGGUUCCUUCCGAAUAGAACCAUAUAUCCCUUCGCAUACUCGCGAUGCGGCAUCGGCACACGUGUGACAAACGUGGCGAAACAACCGUGUCAAUAGGUUCGUUGGAAUCGAACCAUAUCAACCUUCGUAUGGAUCACAUACGGAACCUGCGCACGUAUGAUAGACGUGGGCGAAAACAACCGCGAAGAUAGGGUCCCUUGAAUGGAACUCCCUAUCCACCCUCGCAUGCUCGUGAUGCGGAACUCGGCUCACGUAUAACAGACGUGGCGAUGUGCUGGAGGAGUUAGCAACAUAACCAGAUAAUUAUUUAGUCACCUAAAAUAACCCCAAAAUCCCCUAGGGCCUCCCGCACUAAGUCAUCCUUAACGUUUGUACGAGAUUUUGAAAGGUUCUUGCAACUUUUACAUUUUCAAAGAAGUGUUUAGGGCUCAUUAGGUUCUCUGAUAUACUGAACUCGGCUCUGGUACCAGCUGUGGCGGAACCACCUCGGAUUAGCUUGAUUAAUCAGAGUUCAGCCGCCUGACAUGCGACACUCCUGAUUAACUCGAGCUAACACGAAGCGCCGUCGGAUUUCCUCUGAUUUAACCACUUUCAACAGGAUCGAGUUCAGCAAACCCAUACGAAGGUGAGCGGUUACAGAGAAUACAACAAGUCCACUGAGUUUAAACAGUCUUACUCAAGAGUUCGGUCAUAAAAUUUUAACAUCAGAGUUUUAUAACAAAAGACAACAGAGAAAACACUAGCGGAAGACUUCGUCGGGGUCGGACGUCCGGGCGAGGCCAGCCAGAACAUCACUGAGUCCUCUCCUCGCCGUCCGAGGAGGGGUCCCACUCGACCGUCCAGCCUGGCGGGAGCUGGGGCGGCCAAACACCAACAAGGGAGGGGUCGGGAACUGCAACUUCACCUGAAAAACAGGAGCCACAACAAGGCUGAGCUACUAAGCUCAACAAGACUUAACCGGGGAGGAGUCGACUACUCAUCCAUCUAGACAUGCAAGGCUUCUUGGCUGAGGGGUUUGUUUUGC